ensembl:lncRNA
AUGGACAGGGAAACCUGGUGUGCUGCAGUCCGUGGGGUCACAAAGACUCGGGCACAACUGAGCAACAGAACUGAACUGGCCAACAACACCUUCACCAUCAAGCACACCUUUGGCACAACUCCCUUUGAAUGGAGAGAGAAGUUCGUGAGACCCAGCCUUCAAAAGGAUACCUGCCAGUAGAACCCUCAACUUUUAGAAGAUAAAGUUUGGAAGGAAAACACAACUGUGAAGACUUCUGUGUGACCUGGAAAAUGUAUCCCCCUGGGCUUUAGUUUCCUUGUCUAUGAAAUAAAGAGAUCGGAAUAAAAGACUGUCUAAUGCUUCUAGUUAAAAGAUUUUAUAAUUGGAUAAUGAUCAUCAAACAGAAUUCAUUAACACUGAGUCAUCCAGGGCCCUCUGACAAAUUCUAGUGAUAUAGGAAUUUAAGACUGGUCUUUAUCUUCAAGUGUCAUACAAGUAAUUGGCAAAACAGGGUGCAGGAAUAAACUAAAAAAGUAGAAAUCCCACUCCACAAACUCAACUGUACAAUAAAUAAGACAACUUUUUUCAUUAUCCAAAAAGUAACUUAAUUUAGUGUGAAAAAUUGGGUAUCAGUUACUUUGGAGGAUUUCCUGUCCUUCUCCAGAGUCAGCCACACACAGUUCUGGGUACUUGUAGAUGCUGAGUUUUGGUGGACCAUGGUGCCCGUGUAAGUAAAUGAGGGAUUCAGGUCAGGGCCCACUCUGCUUGGCAUCCUCGGAUCCUGUGAUGGUCUGUGGCUUCCUUGUCACGGUUGGGGAUGUGAGGAACUUCUUCAUGGCUGCCUGUGCCCAGCUGUGACACCCACCUCAUAGGCAACACUCUUUGGAUGGAUGAGGUUUUGCCUUCAGGGACCUGUGUGCUCUGAAAAAUUGCAGAUGUUGUCUCUCUGCCUCUGCAUAAGAUAUGUCUUUAGUCUGGGGUGAAUCAUCUUCCCUUUGUGUUCUUCAAAGAGAGUAUGUUUAUGUUCGUGAAUUCUCUGUGUUCUGCAUUGGGUUUUGGCUUUAGAAAUUUCCAAAAUAAAAAAGGCUUUCAAGCUAUCUCUUGGUCUGCCUCCCCUGAAGCAGUUGAGUCACAGAGGCCACUGUCAUCUUUAAAUGGAGGAAAGAGAAAGGGGAUAUAUAGCAAGG